UACGUAGGGGGCUAGCGUUGUCCGGAUUUAUUGGGCGUAAAGAGCGUGUAGGCGGCCAGGUAGGUCUGGUGUGAAAACUCGAGGCUUAACCUCGAGAUGUCAUCGGAAACCAUCUGGCUAGAGUCCGGAAGAGGAGAGUGGAAUUCCUGGUGUAGCGGUGAAAUGCGUAGAUAUCGAGAGGAACACCUGCGGCGAAGGCGGGUUGCUGGGCUGACACUGACGCUGAGGCGCGAAAGCUAGGGGAGCGAACGGG
rnacentral:rRNA from 1 species